GACAGAGGGUGCAAACGUUGUUCGGAAUUACUGGGCGUAAAGCGCGUGUAGGCUGCUCUGCAAGUCGGAUGUGAAAGCCCUGGGCUCAACCCAGGAAGUGCACUCGAAACUUCCGAGCUCGAGUCCUGGAGAGGGUAGCGGAAUUCUCGGUGUAGAGGUGAAAUUCGUAGAUAUCGAGAGGAACACCGGUGGCGAAGGCGACUACCUGGACAGUGACUGACGCUGAGACGCGAAAGCGUGGGGAGCAAACAGG
rnacentral:rRNA from 1 species